UCUCUCUUUCUAUACCCAUAUCUCUUUUUUCACUUCAUUUUAAGAUUACAAUGCUAGAUUUUCAUGACCCCAUUUUACCAUUGUUUCAUCAUAUUUCAAUACAUUUUGUGAAAAAAGCUUCAAGUUUAUCAAAUGGUUGCUGUUUUCCGUGCACAAGUUUUGCUGCCAAAUGGAAUACAAGAGGAGGUUAAUUUUGCUUCCAUAUGCAAGAUCUUCAUGCAUCAAUGGAGCUUAAUUUCCGGAAAACAUCAAUGGUGAUGCCGUGUUCCAUUGAAGAUCACGGUCAGCUGCUGCCAAAUUGUCAUCACUUGGAAGCAGUGACGCAGCUAUUCAACACGAUCAUUCACCACCUUCUUGUGCUCAUUCUGGCUAAAUGAAGAUGCCAUUAACGGAGAUUCCCAACUGGCUCCCAGCCCAAACGCCGUUGCCGAAAUCGAAACCAAAG